rnacentral:ncRNA from 16 species
GGCCGGGCGGCGCGCAGCUAUACAACACCCGAAAGGGGAAAUCUGCGGGCCGUCUUCGAGCGGUGUUCAAGCGCCCGGCCGCCUCUCU